AACGAACGCUGGCGGCAGGCUUAACACAUGCAAGUCGAGCGCCCCGCAAGGGGAGCGGCAGACGGGUGAGUAACGCGUGGGAAUCUACCCAUCUCUACGGGAUAACGCAUGGAAACGUGUGCUAAUACCGUAUACGUCCUUCGGGAGAAAGAUUUAUCGGAGAUGGAUGAGCCCGCGUUGGAUUAGCUAGUUGGUGGGGUAAAGGCCUACCAAUGCGACGAUCCAUAGCUGGUCUGAGAGGAUGAUCAGCCACACUGGGACUGAGACACGGCCCAGACUCCUACGGGAGGCAGCAGUGGGGAAUAUUGGACAAUGGGCGCAAGCCUGAUCCAGCCAUGCCGCGUGAGUGAUGAAGGCCCUAGGGUUGUAAAGCUCUUUCACCGGUGAAGAUAAUGACGGUAACCGGAGAAGAAGCCCCGGCUAACUUCGUGCCAGCCGCCGCCGUAAUAC
rnacentral:rRNA from 1 species